CCUACGGGACGCAGCAGUGGGGAAUAUUGCACAAUGGGCGAAAGCCUGAUGCAGCAACGCCGCGUGAAGGAAGAAGGGUUUCGGCUCGUAAACUUCUAUCAACAGGGACGAAAGAAAUGACGGUACCUGAAUAAGAAGCCCCGGCUAACUACGUGCCAGCAGCCGCGGUAAUACGGAGGGGGCAAGCGUUAUCCGGAAUUACUGGGUGUAAAGGGUGAGUAGGCGGCAUGGUAAGCCAGAUGUGAAAGCCUUGGGCUUAACCCGAGGAUUGCAUUUGGAACUAUCAAGCUAGAGUACAGGAGAGGAAAGCGGAAUUCCUAGGGUAGCGGUGAAAUACGUAGAUAUUAGGAAGAACACCAGUGGCGAAGGCGGCUUUCUGGACUGAAACUGACGCUGAGGCACGAAAGCGUGGGGAGCGAACAGGAUUAGAUACCCGGGUAGUC
rnacentral:rRNA from 1 species